AAGACCCUGAACUAGGCAGGAGUCUACAAUAGAUGAGCUGGCUGGGCAUGGUGGCUCACAUCUAUAAUCCCAGCACUUUGGGAGGCCAAGGUGGGUGGAUCACCUGAGGUCAGGAGUUUGAGACUAGCCUGACUAACAUGAUGAAACUCCGUCUCUACUAAAAAUACAAAAAUUAGCUGGGUGUGGUGGCGCACACCUGUAAUCCCAGCUACUCGGAAGGCUGAGGCAGGAGAAUCUCCUGAACCCGGGAGGCAGAGGUUGCAGUGAGCCGAGAUCACGCCAUUGCACUCCAGUCUGGGCAACAAGAACAAAACUCCGUCGGUGGGGGAGACAUGAGGCCUCACUCUGUUACCCAGGCUAGAUUGCAGUGUAGCAAUCAUAGCUUACAGCAACUUAAACUCCUGGGCUCAAGCAAUCCUCUCACCUCAGCCUCUCAAGUAGAUGGGACUACAGGCACAUGCCACCAAGCAAGGCUAAUUUAAAAAAAAAUUUUGUAGAGAC
rnacentral:lncRNA from 10 species